rnacentral:rRNA from 1 species
AUUGAACGCUGGCGGAAUGCUUUACACAUGCAAGUCGAACGGCAGCACGGGGGCAGCCCUGGUGGCGAGUGGCGAACGGGUGAGUAAUACAUCGGAACGUGCCCGGUCGUGGGGGAUAACGUAGCGAAAGUUACGCUAAUACCGCACACGAUCUGAGGAUGAAAGCGGGGGACCUUCGGGCCUCGCGCGAUCGGAGCGGCCGAUGUCAGAUUAGUUAGUUGGUGGGGUAAAGGCCUACCAAGCCGACGAUCUGUAGCUGGUCUGAGAGGACGACCAGCCACACUGGGACUGAGACACGGCCCAGACUCCUACGGGAGGCAGCAGUGGGGAAUUUUGGACAAUGGGCGCAAGCCUGAUCCAGCCAUUCCGCGUGCAGGACGAAGGCCUUCGGGUUGUAAACUGCUUUUGUACGGAACGAAAAGGCUCUGGCUAAUACCUGGGGCUCAUGACGGUACCGUAAGAAUAAGCACCGGCUAACUACGUG